rnacentral:misc_RNA from 1 species
AAGUCGUAACAAGGUUUCCGUAGGUGAACCUGCGGAAGGAUCAUUACAAAUUUGAGUGAAAGAUAUGUAGCAAUGUGGAUACUUGUACAUGAAUGAUAUUGUAUAGUAUUUAAUUUACACAACUUGUAACAAUGGAUCUCUUGGCUCUU